rnacentral:lncRNA from 1 species
CGCCGACCCUGCUACUGCUUUGCCUCCCAGCGAUGGUGUCGAUAAUGCCGACUUGGGUUUGAUUCUCCUGCUGCUCAACCCGUGAUGGUGGUCCUAUUGGUUGGGGCGAUCUUCGUCGGUCUUCCUGCUACUCUCUCCGGCAUCGGAUAAAUCGAUCAAGGUGGCCACGCCUGAUGAGACCCUAGAUUUCAUCCCAAAGUUGAAUGCAAUUCUUCAUAUUGUGGUUGUGAUCCCAAUGAUACGAGCAAUACUUGUUCAAUUCCUUCUGAGUCGGAUGCAUCCACAGCCUCUUUGCCUCUAGGAGUUGC